rnacentral:rRNA from 1 species
UACGGGGGGGGCAAGCGUUGUUCGGAAUUACUGGGCGUAAAGGGCUCGUAGGCGGCCAACUAAGUCAGACGUGAAAUCCCUCGGCUUAACCGGGGAACUGCGUCUGAUACUGGAUGGCUUGAGUUCGGGAGAGGGAUGCGGAAUUCCAGGUGUAGCGGUGAAAUGCGUAGAUAUCUGGAGGAACACCGGUGGCGAAGGCGGCGUCCUGGACCAAGACUGACGCUGAGGCGCGAAGGCGUGGGGAGCAAACAGG